ensembl:lncRNA
GUUUAUGAGCAGAAAUAAACACAUUUCAUUGCUGGUAUUCUAACGUUUAUAUAUUCACUGUAUGGCCAAAAGUAUAUGCACCCCUGACCAUCACACAAGCACUAUAUGUGUUUGGCGAACAGCUCGUUCCAGAUUUAUUCCCCAUGUUUGCGCUCCGCUCUUCUGGAAAGGCUUUCCACUAGAUUUUGGGGCGUGGCUGUGGGGAUUUGUGUUCAUUCAACUACAACAGCGUUAGUGAGGUUGAUGAUGAUGGGAGGAGACUCCAGUUCAUCCGAAAGGUGAUGAGACAGUGGGAUUGAGGUCAGGGUUCUAUGCAGGACACUCGAGUUCUUCCACCUUCUUCCAACCUUCACACACCAUGUCUUCAUGGAGCUCGCUUUGUGCACUUUGUGUCACGCUGGAACAGGUUUGGAACUCUUAGUUCCAGUGAAAGGGAAAUUGUAAAGCUACAGCAUACAGAGGCAUUCUAUAUGAAUGUUUUCUUCCAACUUUGUGGCACAAGUCUGGGGAAGAACCACAUAUGGGCAUGAUGGUCGAGAAUGCACAAACUUUUGGCGGUAUAGUGUAUAACUCUACAGUGAAGGCAAACAACCUCCUCAUCACCAAUGUUUAUUUCAUCUGCUGAGAACGAUCAAUCUAACCUAGAGAGCAAGCUAGGCUAGUUAGUCAGUUGAUGCUAGCGAGUUGUGUAAGAUUGCUGCUGUUGUUAUUGUGUGUGCAUCGUGUGAGGGAUAUUGCUUGAUGAUUAAAAAAAAAAAAAAAAAAAAAAAAAAAAAAAAAAAGACAAGUGUGAAGGCUGUCUUUCUUAUAGUCAAGGUUUCCAUCUUCACUUCUCGAGGCACACUGCCCUACAAAGUUUCCCUAAACCCAAAACCUGACACUCUCCAGUGUGAUGGACUGAGAAAUGUUCUCAGCAGAAGGUAGAAUGAUAAAAAUUUGAGAACCCUGCAGUAUGCACAAACAUUUAAAGAGUAUAAAACUCACAUGCUAAUACGCCUCCAGCGGUGCAGUCCACGCCUGUCUGCAGACUCCAGGGCAAAGGUGGCACGGCAGAGGGUGGAGGAGGAGGGGGCGGAGGCUUACUGACCGUCGAUGAAGACACAGAAGCUGAGGAGGACGAGGAAGGUUCGACAGACAGAGGAGGAAUGGAAUGAGCAAGAGAAACUGCAGCCAAGGCUGAUGAAGCGGAGCAGGGUGGUGAGGUCUUCGGGUCAUCCAGUGGGAGGAGCUUGGAGACAGACUGUGAAAUUCCAUCUCCUCUUGAGGGUGGUGGGCUAGGAGGUGACUUUGCAGGCACAAGCAGGGUGGACUGGGACUGAACAGGGCACUCUUCUGAAAGGAAAGAAGGUUCAGGGGUCUUGCAGCUGCUGUCCACAGUCUGAGAAUCUGGGGAAGAUUCUCUAGUGUCUCGAGAUGGGGGUAAAGACAAUGGAGGAGUGUGUGGGGGUGAGGAUGAUGGGGGAAGAAUGCUGGUAGAUGAAGAUGAUGAUGAUGAGGAAGAAGAGGAUGAAGGUGUGGGCCCAGGAUGUGUGGAGGGUGGACUUGAUGGUUUUGGACCGAUUCCACUUAAAGGCUGAAUUUCUGAAGAUCCAGUCCAACCAGAUCCCAAAGCGCUGCUGUUGGCACCUUUGGCAUUGGGCCCGUCAACUGCUAGACCCUUCUCCCGGGGCUUCUUUCCUGGCCUUCGUCUGCGCUUUGCUGCUGAGGAUGAUGUGGGCGAGGAAGCGGAUGACGAUGUGGAGGUGGUGGAGCUUGGUUUGGCUUUCUUUGACUUGAGUCCUGUCGUGUUAGUUGAGGACAGGGAUGAAAGGGUAUUCCGUUGCUUGCCAGUCUUGUUCAAAUCUUUGACUCUACCAGGCAGGGAAAGCGGUUCUGAGCAGGGCUUCAGGAACGGAGAUCGGCUUUCGUUGUCCCGACGGAAAACCACAGCUAUAGACCCACCCACCACUGAGGGUCCUGUUGUUCCACCAGGUCCAAUGAGAUCAAUACCCAUUUUACCACUGUUUCCCGUGGUGCUGCUUACUCCUUCCCGGACCAGCACUGAGACUUUAGACUGUAGUUUACCCUUCCUACUGCUUCCUCCAAGCUUCUUGGAUCUUCCUGAGCGACCCGAUUCUUUCUUGCUUGGUUUUUCUUUCCCGGUCUUCCGUACUCUUUUAGCAGAGGAUGAAGAAGCAGUGAGAGGAAGGGAAGCAGUGUUGCCAGAUGACGCAGAAAGAGGUGAGGACAGUGAGGGCAAAAGGCUUUUACUUUUGCUCGCUUUGGGUCUGUGAGAAGAUGAGGAAGUGGACGACUCAGACUGGCCCAGUUUUUUGCUCCUAGAUCGGGAUUUCUUCUGAUGGUGCCGGUUACUUUUUGGAGCUGUGGAUUUAAGUUUGGGCCUUGCGUAGGACUCCGGGCUCGAUCCUGGGCGUGGGAAGGAGAGGUAGGGAUCAAGGUAGUGGUGGGUGUAGUGGUAACAGUAAUGGUACGUUUGAUUGCGAAAAGGUCCGAGCCGUUCAGGUCCUGAAUAGACGGAGGUACGACAGGCCGUCCAUCUCUUCUCCUGUCUCGCUCCCUUUCCCGCCCUCUUUCUUUCUCCCUGUCUCGUCUAUCACUGCUUUCUCUUCUCCUUUUUGCCUCCCCUCUCUCUCGGCUACUUGACCUCCUGUUUCCUUCGUCCCGAUCUCUCUUCCUUCCUUCUCUCAUCCUGGAGUCUUUAUCUCUCUCUCUUUCCCGGUUAUCUCUCCUCCUGUCUCGGUAUCGAUCCCUUUCCCGGUCUCUGUCCCGAUCUCGGUCACGGUCCCUCCCUCUGUGUAGGCCUUCCAAGGGGCUGGACAAGGACCUGCGGCUGUGUGCGUGUCGAGAGGUAUUACGGGAGUGUGACGCUGGCUCAGGAGUGCUGUGUUGCGUGCUCUUCCUUGUUUGGCUAUAACUUCUGCUGCUCCUCCUCCUGUCCUUCUCUUUUUCUUCUCUUCUGCUCCUCCUUUCAUGAUCCCUCUCCUUGUUCUCUCCACUCGCUCUUUCCGACUCCCCUUUGUCCUCUUUCCUCUUCUUGCGCUUCUCUUUUUCCUGGCCUUUCAGCUUGCGCCGGUCCCUCUCCUUGGAGCUUUUGGAAGAUCUGCAACUCCUUACCUUCUCCGUGGUCUGGGGUUGGGACGCCGGCGGGGAGGGAGAAGGUAUGGGUAGGACAGACGCAGGAGGCGGCGAUAUGGAUGCUGAAGAAGGGCAAGACCUGAAUCUCUGUUUUCGCCUGUUGGUGAGUUUCCUUCUCAGGUCUCCCAUGCCAAUAGGGGGCACCGGUUGGUGGUCCCAUUCACCCUCUGCUCGAACCGAUACAAAUCCUUCACCGUCCAGGACUCGCAAGAUCCUCUCAGGUUUGAGACCUCCCCCUUGCAAGAAAGAAGGACUCCCCGAGGACGGAAGCAGCACCUCCCUUCUUAUCUCAAUCUCUCUUUCCCUUCUGCUCUCAGCGACACCCACAAUCUCUCCUUCUUCUAUUUCCGAGUGCUCAGAGUCAUCCUCUUCUCUUCGGUCUUUUGCUCGCUGUCUCAUGUGCUUGAUCCUGUUCACCUGUGUGGCCGUGUGCUGAGACACCAACAGUCGCUCUACCGCCUCUGUCGAGUCCGGAGGUGGACCCUCGUCCCCGGGAGCUGUCUCCAGCUCCACCUCUUUAGUGUCCUUUAUGUCGCAUGCUAUCCGUAUGCUGUUGAACGAACUUUCUUCCUCUCCGUCUUGCUCCCCAUCCAUAUCUUUCUCUGAUGCUGGUGAUCCGGUGGGUUCAAAGGGGUCGUACUUAUCUCCUUCGUCUCCGGCUGCUAUGCCUGGUAAACCCUCUCCCUCUGUUGGUUGAAAGGGGUCAUAUAUCUCCGUGUCCAAGCCCUCUCUCUGGUCAUCGUCGUAAAGACGGGGUGAUGAGGACAGACGAUGUAAAGGAGCCGAAGGAGGUGCAGAGAGCAAUGACUGAGCCAGAGAUGAUGAGGUUGAUGAUACACCGUCCCCUCCUGCUUUGUUCCCGACCCGAUUGUUCCCAGCAUGGCUGCCGUCCUCGUCCUCGCGAUAUCCCGUUCCCAUUCUUCUAGGAGAGGUUGAGCAAGGAGAAGAGGGGGAAGAGGGAGCAGAUGAAGGUGAGGACGGAGAUGUAGAGGGUGAAGAAGGGAGAGGGCUUUUUGAGGUCUCAGCCGCCCUCUGAGAGGUGCAGAGAGGAGAUGGCCUGGGCAUCUGUGCCACAGUUGUACGGAGCGCCGUAUAAAACACUCCUCUAACCAGAAGUAUGUAAGAAGGAGCGCUCGGUCAAGCCUAAGAGAUGAACACACAAGCCUUUAAAUCACUCCAGCAGGGCACAUCAAAGGAGAAAUUAUACAUAAAUUAGGUGACAUACGGAUUUACCUGCCCUUCUUCCAGCAGCAAAGCCUGGUUUACUCUCAGUGCUGAUGCAGGCUUCACAUCAAAGAGACUUGGAAAGGACAAAAAUCAGAAAUCAAUCCCAGAAUUCACUUUAAAUUAAAUCCAAUCAAAUCACACUAUAAGAGAGAAGAAUUCAAGUGACAGAAAAAGAAUGGCUGGUGAGGGAAGGACUGUUUAUAAAGUGAGAACAGGAACUAACUAAUUUCACCGACAUUCCACAACGUUAAAUGUAACUGUGAGGGGAUGAAAAGUAUGACGAGUCGUUUGUUAACAAAUCAAACAUUUUUUUUAGCAAAUUGCUGUGGUAUAAGAGGAAUAAAACACUUAAGGAUGCACUGUCCUCAGAGUAUCGCAGGUCUCUGGCGUCUAUCUCAACCAGACUAAUCACUGUGAUAAGUACUGUAGUGUAGUGCAGCUGCAACUAAACUCACACUGUUUACACCCUGAUCACGUGAUCACAGUUCUUAUAAACAUUAACACUAGGGAUGCACCGAAAUUAAAAUUCUUGGCCGAAGCCGAAACCGAGUAUAAUGAAAAACUUGGCCGAAAGUGAAACCGAACACGUUUUUUUUCGCGUUUUUUCCAUUUAUUUUGCCAUUUUUUUCACCAUUGCAUAAAUUAAAUAGUCAUAACGUGAUUUUUACUAUUUUGUCUUGCUUUUCAAAGAAAAAAGUCAAUUACAAAAACUACAAUUUCAAAAUAUUUAUUUAACACUGAACAUUUUUUUUCAUUCCAGCAGGCACAGGCUACCAACAAGGCACAAUGUAACUUUAAAUAAAUAAAUGAGCAAAAUAAAAAUAUUUUGAUGUGGUUAUCUUUGAGCCCCUUGAAUAGCCGAUGUUAGGCCUGUAACUGACUGCUCAAAGAAUGUAACACUCUGUAGACUACAACAAAAAAGUGCAUUAAAAGGUGCAUUGACAAGAGUGCAGAAAAUGGUUCUAUAGGGCUGAUGAUAUUGGGGAUAUAUACCGCUCGCGUCCCUGUACACCUCGCAGAGUAUUAUAGUAGAUAUAGUAUAGUUAGAUAUGUCGUUAAUGUUAUGUUCCCUUAAAUAAAUACGUCUUUACCUGCUUCCGUACUCUACUCCUUUACGUCUCGCGACGUGACAGAAUACUCCGGAACAGAAACAAAACAAAUGUGCACGUGUCCACAGUAAACAAUGUCACGGUUGUCAACAACCGAAGAGCAUGCGCUCGCUGAGCACUCAUGCACGCGCGCGCCCUCUCAUCUCUCGGAGCGCUCUGCCGGAAGUGGAGGUCGUGACAUUUGCGCGUCUCACUCUGGUUGCUAGGCUAUUUGGGCGCAUCAUCAAACACGUCAUUGUUCGGUCAAAUUUAUUCGGAAUUUUCACUUAUUCGGCCGAACACCGUAAAUGCUUUUUUUUUGCUAUUUUCGGCCGAAUAAUUUCGGUUGCCGAACAUUCGGUGCAUCCCUAAUUAACACUUCACAAUCUCCACACUUACCGAUCAGUGAGCCGGUGUUGAGAGCACAGCUGAGACAUAAGGAAAGUAGUGUUGGAUAAACAGCAGCCCACUAUACAAUCACACACACACACACACACACACACGUCAAGUCUGAACUUCUAUUGAUCCAGGAACAGAUGGUGUAAAUGAACGUAAAUGAAUUUUGACCUUUUUGUCCGUUUUACAUUACCG